AGGAUUUUGCAGGGUUGAUGGUACUAUCAAAAAAAAAAAAUAUUAGCCUUUAGAAAGUUCUAC
rnacentral:pre_miRNA from 1 species